AAUAAAACGGGGCAAACCGAUGGCCCCUACCUGCCAGUGGCAAGGACAGCCAAGCCUAUGACGAGAAGCCAGUGAAGCCGGUGCCCCAGCGGAGGCCGUCCAAGCGACACCGGCUGACGCCUACAGAGCCCUUACCACGUGCCGGGCACCGUGUUGGUGUUCAUUCGGUCCUUGCAGUGGUCUGUGCGGGAAGCACAAUCAUGGUCCUUGUUCUUGGUGUGCAGAAACAGAGGCACAGAUCGGUGGAGCGAGCUGCCUAAUACCGCAGAGCUGACACAUGUGGGUCAGUACGCGAGACCCAGCACCUGCUGCUUUUGUCACCGCGCCACCUGCCUCUGGGCCCAGGGACGACCUCCUCUGAGCUCCGGCUCAGCUGAACUGAGGCAGCUCAGAGUCAGAACGGCCUCUGGUAUUGCCUGAAGCCAGGGCUGCACGCACACUACCUCUGCGUCCCUAUGCUUUAUCUUCUGUUUCUCCUCUUUGUCUCUCCCUCCCCUUUCCCUAGAAGAUCCAGAAGGUGCUUUCUCUAAACUCCCCCCCUCUUGCAUGAGGUCCAUUAGUGCCAUCUGGCAGAAAUAAAAAGUCUAAAAAGGA